rnacentral:rRNA from 1 species
GGAGCAUGUGGUUUAAUUCGAUGCAACGCGAAGAACCUUACCAUCCCUUGACAUCAUCAGGAUUUGUUAGAGAUAACUUAGUGCCUUCGGGAACUGGUUGACAGGUGCUGCAUGGCUGUCGUCAGCUCGUGUCGUGAGAUGUUGGGUUAAGUCCCGCAACGAGCGCAACCCUUAUCUUUAGUUACCAGCACGUUAAGGUGGGGACUCUAAAGGGACUGCCGGUGACAAGCCGGAGGAAGGUGGGGACGACGUCAAGUCAUCAUGGCCCUUACGGGAUGGGCUACACACGUGCCACAAUGGGCAGUACAGAUGGUCGCGAAGCCGCGAGGUGGAGCUAAUCUAAGAAAGCUGUUCGUAGUCCGGAUUGGAGUCUGCAACUCGACUCCAUGAAGUUGGAAUCGCUAGUAAUCGCAGAUCAGAAUGCUGCGGUGAAUACGUUCCCGGGCCUUGUACACACCGCCCGUCACACCAUGGGAGUGGGUUGCAAAAGAAGUGGGUAGACUAACCUUCGGGGGGUCGCUCACCACUUUGUGAUUCAUGACUGGGGUGAAGUCGUAACAAGGUA